rnacentral:rRNA from 1 species
ACGCAAUAGAUACCCAGGUAGUCCAUGCCGUAAACGUUGGGCACUAGGUGUGGGGGACAUUCCACGUUUUCCGCGCCGUAGCUAAACGCAUUAAGUGCCCCGCCUGGGGAGUACGGCCGCAAGGCUAAAACUCAAAGGAAUUGACGGGGGCCCGCACAAGCGGCGGAGCAUGCGGAUUAAAUUCGAUGCAACGCGAAGAACCUUACCAAGGCUUGACAUGGACCAGACCGGGCUGGAAACAGUCCUUCCCCUUGUGGGUUGGUUUACAGGUGGUGCAUGGUUGUCGUCAGCUCGUGUCGUGAGAUGUUGGGUUAAGUCCCGCAACGAGCGCAACCCUCGUUCUAUGUUGCCAGCACGUGAUGGUGGGGACUCAUAGGAGACUGCCGGGGUCAACUCGGAGGAAGGUGGGGACGACGUCAAAUCAUCAUGCCCCUUAUGUCUUGGGCUUCACGCAUGCUACAAUGGCCGGUACAAAGGGUUGCGAUACUGUGAGGUGGAGCUAAUCCCAAAAAGCCGGUCUCAGUUCGGAUUGGGGUCUGCAACUCGACCCC